UCCAAGUUGAUGCAGUAAUAUUUAGCCAACGAUAAAACUUUUACAGUGGUAUUCUUAUGUCACCAUCAUUAACAUACAUUUUUUUUUUUAUUAAACCUUCACUAUACAAUUUAUAGUGAAACAAUUCUCCAUUAGGGACAGCAUUGGGUAGAGUCCCUUGCAUCGACAAUUGUGACAAGCCCAAGAUGGUGGUGUGUGGCUUUGACAGACGGCAAGGAGCGAAACUCUUUGACAACUUAUGUGCCAUGGACGCAUGGAACCUCUGCUAUCACACAGAUUUUGAAGCCCAACCAACAAUUGAAGACUGUAUGAAAAUGUUUGAAGAAGAAUACUCAAGAGAAAGCAUGGUGCCCUUUAAAAAUCCUUUAAUAAUACAAAUGUAUAAACACAAUAAAGUAGACAAUCUGUACUUAUAAUAAUUGUUUUUGUGUG